CUGCCACAACGGCUUCCUGACGUGGCAGAGAAACAUUAAAUGGAGCG
rnacentral:ncRNA from 1 species